CUUUUGCGUUAGGGAUUGUAGAGGAAAUCCUUUUUUAAUUUUCUAAAAAAGAUUGCAACAUAAAGCCCGACCCUUG
rnacentral:sRNA from 1 species